CCAAGCAGACCUGCUAAGAAAGGGCUGUCUUACUACAGCUGAUUGGGGGACGUUAAAGGCAUCUCCAAGGGGGUUGAAACUAGAUGAUCUUACAGGUCCUUUUCAAUCCAGGCCAUCCUAUGAUUCUGUGAUCAUCCCUACAUCAUUUGCAAGGGGUGCAGUUGCUGAUGAUUACUCAUAGCUGUCUGGUUUUCCACUCUCCUUUUUGCUGAAGGGAUUCCACUCUCAUAAGGCUGUUGUAACCUUUGACCUCGCAUUUUUGCAAGGAGACAGAGGUUCAGCAGGAACAAAGGAAAAGGCUGCUUAUUUUUUCAAGCUGUUCUUUCUGAUGUGGACAAAAGGAUUCUCUGCUGUGGUCUGUGCCUGAAGAGGCUGUAUUUGCCCCAGUUCUUCUGGCAGUGGCAUAUGUAAAGUGAGGAAUACAGAAUGUGGGAAACAGGACCCUGAUCUCAGGUGGCACAUAGAACAAGGUGAUGGAAUGAUGUAGCUGUGCUCACAGACCUCCUGGAAUCUGUGGACAACGCACAGCUUAGGUGCUUUUGACAGGACUGCCCUUGUUACUAUUUUGUGAAUGGGAUUUAAAGGAUGGAGGUAAAGCUGAACUCCCCUAUUCUUUUCUGGUGGACAGGAGCAAAGAGAAGAGGGGAAAAAAAAAAACACCAAAA